CACCCAGGGAGAGUGAUCUCCGGAAAGGGCCAUAGAAAAUUAGACCGCCUUCGGGCAAGGAUGGAAAGGUGAGGUAAGAGCUCACCGGCUGUCGGGUGACCGGCAGGCUAGGUAACCCCCGUCUGGAGCAAGUCCAAGCAGAAAGGGUCUGAGGAUGCCCACCGAUUCCCUUUCGGGUAGGAUGCUUGAGGGUUAUGGUAACAUAACUCCGAGAUAGAUGGUCACGAGAACAGGAUCCGGCUUA
rnacentral:RNase_P_RNA from 1 species